rnacentral:rRNA from 1 species
AUUGAACGCUGGCGGCAUGCUUUACACAUGCAAGUCGAACGGUAACAGGCCGCAAGGUGCUGACGAGUGGCGAACGGGUGAGUAAUGUAUCGGAACGUGCCCAGUCGUGGGGGAUAACGCAGCGAAAGCUGCGCUAAUACCGCAUACGAUCUAUGGAUGAAAGCGGGGGACCGUAAGGCCUCGCGCGAUUGGAGCGGCCGAUAUCAGAUUAGGUAGUUGGUGGGGUAAAGGCUCACCAAGCCAACGAUCUGUAGCUGGUCUGAGAGGACGACCAGCCACACUGGGACUGAGACACGGCCCAGACUCCUACGGGAGGCAGCAGUGGGGAAUUUUGGACAAUGGGCGCAAGCCUGAUCCAGCAAUGCCGCGUGCAGGAAGAAGGCCUUCGGGUUGUAAACUGCUUUUGUACGGAACGAAACGGUCUGGGUUAAUACCUCGGGCUAAUGACGGUACCGUAAGAAUAAGCACCGGCUAACUACGUGCCAGCAGCCGCGGUAAGAC